rnacentral:rRNA from 1 species
CUGAGGCGUGAUGACGAGGCACUACGGUGCUGAAGCAACAAAUGCCCUGCUUCCAGGAAAAGCCUCUAAGCAUCAGGUAACAUCAAAUCGUACCCCAAACCGACACAGGUGGUCAGGUAGAGAAUACCAAGGCGCUUGAGAGAACUCGGGUGAAGGAACUAGGCAAAAUGGUGCCGUAACUUCGGGAGAAGGCACGCUGACACGUAGGUGAAGUGAUUUACUCACGGAGCUGAAGUCAGUCGAAGAUACCAGCUGGCUGCAACUGUUUAUUAAAAACACAGCACUGUGCAAACACGAAAGUGGACGUAUACGGUGUGACGCCUGCCCGGUGCCGGAAGGUUAAUUGAUGGGGUCAGCGCAAGCGAAGCUCCUGAUCGAAGCCCCGGUAAACGGCGGCCGUAACUAUAACGGUCCUAAGGUAGCGAAAUUCCUUGUCGGGUAAGUUCCGACCUGCACGAAUGGCGUAAUGAUGGCCAGGCUGUCUCCACCCGAGACUCAGUGAAAUUGAACUCGCUGUGAAGAUGCAGUGUACCCGCGGCAAGACGGAAAGACCCCGUGAACCUUUACUAUAGCUUGACACUGAACAUUGAGCCUUGAUGUGUAGGAUAGGUGGGAGGCUUUGAAGUGUGGACGCCAGUCUGCAUGGAGCCGACCUUGAAAUACCACCCUUUAAUGUUUGAUGUUCUAACGUGGACCCGUAAUCCGGGUUGCGGACAGUGUCUGGUGGGUAGUUUGACUGGGGCGGUCUCCUCCUAAAGAGUAACGGAGGAGCACGAAGGUUGGCUAAUCCUGGUCGGACAUCAGGAGGUUAGUGCAAUGGCAUAAGCCAGCUUGACUGCGAGCGUGACGGCGCGAGCAGGUGCGAAAGCAGGUCAUAGUGAUCCGGUGGUUCUGAAUGGAAGGGCCAUCGCUCAACGGAUAAAAGGUACUCCGGGGAUAACAGGCUGAUACCGCCCAAGAGUUCAUAUCGACGGCGGUGUUUGGCACCUCGAUGUCGGCUCAUCACAUCCUGGGGCUGAAGUAGGUCCCAAGGGUAUGGCUGUUCGCCAUUUAAAGUGGUACGCGAGCUGGGUUUAGAACGUCGUGAGACAGUUCGGUCCCUAUCUGCCGUGGGCGCUGGAGAACUGAGGGGGGCUGCUCCUAGUACGAGAGGACCGGAGUGGACGCAUCACUGGUGUUCGGGUUGUCAUGCCAAUGGCACUGCCCGGUAGCUAAAUGCGGAAGAGAUAAGUGCUGAAAGCAUCUAAGCACGAAACUUGCCCCGAGAUGAGUUCUCCCUGAGACUUUAGGUCUCCUGAAGGAACGUUGAAGACGACGACGUUGAUAGGCCGG